ensembl:lncRNA
GGGACAGACAGGCGGAAAUUUGGGGACAGAUGGAGGACACCAUAGGGACAGACAGGGGAGGUGACACAGAGGUGACAAUGAGGUGACAUUGAGGUGACACGGAGGUGACAAUGAGGUGACAGAGAGGUGACACUGAGGUGACAGUGUGGGGGCACUGAGGUGACAUGGAGGUGACACAGAGGAGACACAGAAGUGGCACUGAGGUGACACAGAGGUGACAGUGAGGUGGCACAGAGGUGACACGGAGGUGACACAGAGGUGACAGUGAGGUGACAGUGAGGUGACAGAGAAGUGGCACUGUGGUGGCAUAGAGGUGACACAGAGGAGACACAGAGGUGGCACAGAGGUGGCACUGAGGUGACACGGAAGUGACACAGAGGAGACACAGAGGUGACAUUGAGGAGACAAAGAGAUGGCACUGAGGUGACACAGAGGUGACCCUGAGGUGACAGAGGUGACAGCGAGGUGACAGUGAGGUGACACAGAGGUGACACAGAGGUGACACGGAGGUGACAGU